AUGAGAAAAAAUAAAAGAAAAGCAAGAUCCAGAAACCGAAUCGCUCAAUCGCCUCGACUCCAAUCGAUCUCUGCCAUCAGAACCUUUUCCGAUCCGCCACGCAAAACAGUCGUUCAAAUCAUCGUAAACAACCACCGACGAAGCUCCUCCCCCUUUCAGAUCCGACGACGACAUCUCCUGCGACCGCCACUGAGAGCCGUGUCAGAUCCGCCCACGAGCACACCCUCGGCCAUCGCCGAUGAAACCAAGAUAGACAUACUUCUUGAUGUUUUGAUCUGA